AUUGGACAAUGGGUGAGAGCCUGAUCCAGCCAUCCCGCGUGAAGGACUAAGGCCCUAUGGGUUGUAAACUUCUUUUAUACUGGGAUAAACCUACUUACGUGUAAGUAGCUGAAGGUACAGUAUGAAUAAGCACCGGCUAACUCCGUGCCAGCAGCCGCGGUAAUACGGAGGGUGCAAGCGUUAUCCGGAUUUAUUGGGUUUAAAGGGUCCGUAGGCGGACUCGUAAGUCAGUGGUGAAAUCUCAUAGCUUAACUAUGAAACUGCCAUUGAUACUGCGGGUCUUGAGUAAGGUAGAGGUAGCUGGAAUAAGUAGUGUAGCGGUGAAAUGCAUAGAUAUUACUUAGAACACCAAUUGCGAAGGCAGGUUACCAUGUCUUAACUGACGCUGAUGGACGAAAGCGUGGGGAGCGAACAGGAUUAGAUACCCUGGUAGUCCACGCCGUAAACGAUGCUAACUCGUUUUUGGGUUUUCGGAUUCAGAGACUAAGCGAAAGUGAUAAGUUAGCCACCUGGGGAGUACGAUCGCAAGAUUGAAACUCAAAGGAAUUGACGGGGGCCCGCACAAGCGGUGGAUUAUGUGGUUUAAUUCGAUGAUACGCGAGGAACCUUACCAAGGCUUAAAUGGGAAUUGACAGGUUUAGAAAUAGACUUUUCUUCGGACAAUUUUCAAGGUGCUGCAUGGUUGUCGUCAGCUCGUGCCGUGAGGUGUUAGGUUAAGUCCUGCAACGAGCGCAACCCCUGUCACUAGUUGCUAGCAUUAAGUUGAGGACUCUAGUGAGACUGCCUACGCAAGUAGAGAGGAAGGUGGGGAUGACGUCAAAUCAUCACGGCCCUUACGCCUUGGGCCACACACGUAAUACAAUGGCCGGUACAGAGGGCAGCUACACAGCGAUGUGAUGCAAAUCUCGAAAGCCGGUCUCAGUUCGGAUUGGAGUCUGCAACUCGACUCUAUGAAGCUGGAAUCGCUAGUAAUCGCGCAUCAGCCAUGGCGCGGUGAAUACGUUCCCGGGCCUUGUACACACCGCCCGUCAAGCCAUGGAAGUCUGGGGUACCUGAAG
rnacentral:rRNA from 1 species